rnacentral:rRNA from 1 species
CUUGACCCGUCUUGAAACACGGACCAAGGAGUCUAACAUGCGCGCGAGUCAUUGGGCGGUACGAAACCCAAAGGCGCAGUGAAAGCGAGGGUCGUCUCUCGACGACCCAGGUGGGAUCCUCUCUCCCAAGAGCGAUCUGCGGAGGGGGGCGCACCACCGGCCCGUCCCGUCUGCGUUGUCAGUGGGGCGGAGCAAGAGCGUGCACGCUGGGACCCGAAAGAUGGUGAACUAUGCCUGAGUAGAACGAAGCCAGAGGAAACUCUGGUGGAGGUUCGUAGCGAUUCUGACGUGCAAAUCGAUCGUCAAACUUGGGUAUAGGGGCGAAAGACUAAUCGAACCAUCUAGUAGCUGGUUCCUUCCGAA